UACGGAGGGUGCAAGCGUUAUCCGGAUUCACUGGGUUUAAAGGGUGCGUAGGUGGGUUGGUAAGUCAGUGGUGAAAUCUCCGUGCUUAACAUGGAAACUGCCAUUGAUACUACUGAUCUUGAAUUUUCAGGAGGUAAGCGGAAUAUGUCAUGUAGCGGUGAAAUGCUUAGAUAUGACAUAGAACACCAAUUGCGAAGGCAGCUUACUACAGGAAUAUUGACACUGAUGCACGAAAAGCGUGGGGAUCAAACAGG
rnacentral:rRNA from 1 species